UUUGGCCAGAAUUUCAAGCCAUAGAGCGUCAGCACCCCAAAUAUUUUGAUAACCUUACAAAAGACUUGUACCAGUAUUGUGUUUGCACAGGGAAUGUGUCUGCUGACUCUGUUAGGGGUCUUAAUGCAGUUCUCAGCAUAUGGAACCAACCAAUUGUGCCCUGUUGGGACAGCCAGAACUCCUAUUUGGAGGAAUCCUCCUUUCUUUCUUAAGCUGUGAUUUGCCAUUGUCUUCUUUACCCUGCCCGUCUCGAAAUAUGUACCGAUUAGCACAAGAAGACCGGAUGAGAGAAUGUGGAUGGGCU